AUGCAUGGGUGCAUGCUGACAAGUGGGCAGCCUCACAGAGGCCACAGCCAGGGAACGAUGGUGCCAACCAGACCGGUGCAGUUGUUCCUCGGGGUGGGAAGGGGAGGAACCGCCCUGAACUUUAAAUUUCCUGAGUACCUAGAAGACACAGGAUUUACCCAAUAUAGGCUGUUUUAAACCAGAAAAGGCAGAGUUAUUUUUACAUAUUCCUGCCUUUUGCUGACAGAAAUGGGGACUUUAGAGCAAUAUUAAGUCUGUCAUAGUGUAUAAAGAAAGUUACAGAAGACAGAAGAGGCACAUCUGGGUUACAGUGUACACAUUUCAACCCCAGGACACAAACAAGUUAAUAACCGUGUUCCUAAUCCUCUUCACUAGUCACUGUCUACUUAGUGCACCUUAACUCAAUGAUCCCAAAAGAUAAUUAAUUAAGAAAACACAGUGACAAUAGGAAUAAUGACACAAAACCACAGAGGCUGGGCUGAGGCUGGGCUGCACCCAUCCUCACCAAUGAGCACAGCAGUGCCCUGCUGUCAUCAUUGUCCCUCUUCACAGGUGAGGAACUGUGGCACAGAGAAGUGGGGUGACUUUCCCAACAGUAAGUGGCUGAGUUAGAAUUCAAACCCAGGUCCUUGCUAUCAAGAAACAGCAAAAACCUGUAUGUUGAGAGUGUACAUUUUAAGUUACCACAUCAAGAAGUCAGUAGAGGAACAUUGACAUAGAUAACAACUCUUUAAAUAUAUUAGACAAAAACAAAAACACUGAUCUCUUCAGCUGGCAAAAUAUUUCUACUCUUCCCCAAGUUCAGCAGGUGGAUAAUCACAUGCCCUUUGGAACUAUUCAUGGAACUCAGUGAUAACCAUGGCCUGUCCUUUGGGAUGUCAUCAUAUACCAACAGGAAAAACAGAAAAUGGAAGCAUACUUUGUUCCAAAUAUCUAAUUAACUUAGUUGCCAUAAUGCUUAUCACAUUCCCAUAAUUUCCCAAUUUAGGCAUCAUCAGAAAAUAAACAUUAGGUGAUACAGUAUAUAUUUCCAAUAGUCUCUGCUGCCAUCACAUUUUAAUUAAUUUCAUCUUCAUCUGAAUUAAAAAACUAUUUUUAAGUCUGGCAUCAAAAAUGUAUAAUAAACCACAGCCUAGGACACAGCCCCAAUCCCCAGCAUCUCCCUGAGGCUAUCUGCCUCCAAGACAGUGAAGGUUUAUCACUCCACCUAGCAGGCUGUGCUACGCGGUUCACAACUCUGCUCAUGCUGUUCCCUUUGCCUGGAAGUUCUCCACCAAGUAGUGUACACCACUGGUGCCCUGCCCAAAUCCCCAGCUGCUCUGUUUGGGUUGCUAAUAGUUCUCAGCUGACCUUGGGAUAUUUUGUCCCCCUGCCCACAGGCAAUGACUGACUGACAUGGGGAAAGCUUAAGAGACACAUCAAAGAAUUGCAAUAUGUAGGACCCAAUCAAGAUCAUAAAUUCAACAAAUUUUAUAUUUUUAAAGCUAUGACUUUCAAAGGCAAAUGGAUAUCUGAAUGCUGACUGUAUUUGAUGAUACUAAGGAAUCACUGUUAAUUUUCAGCCAUUACGAAGGUGGGUAAAGGAAAGAGCCAAACCCCACCAGAAGGGUAUGACUCCCGAAAUGAUAACAGCAUGUGAAAAUAAUUCAUCCAAGUUGCCAAAGAAAGGAAACAGGAUUCAGAAGUUAAAAGAACGCAGCAGAGGGAAAAAAAAUGUCCUCCAAGUCACCAUCAGCCUUCCCCAUGCCUGCAACCACACUGUGUUUUAGCCUGGGUGGAGCAGAGAGUAAAUAAACACAGUUUCUAUUUUUAGCAUACUUUUCCUGGCCACUUUGAAAUUUCGAAGUCACAGAUUAUUGCCUGUUACCUUUUAAAGUACAUUUUUACCUAAAGAAUUCAUAGAAAACCUCUCAGAAUCAGGAGAAAAUAUAUAUAAGUUCUUAUAUAAAGCUGACUUAGUUUAGGGAGUAAUCUACUUUAUAAAAAGUAUUAUAUAUUCACAAAAUAAACUAGAAAGAAUGCUUAACAUAUUUUCCAUUGCAUAUACUUAAAAAAGCAAAUCUUUCUAAACUCUGUAGAAUAUUAAUUACUGCUGCUAAUAUAAUAAAUUGUUAAUUUAAAAAAAUUUUCACUAAAAAAUUUUGAAAAUGAACUUCUUUGCAAAAAUUAACAAUGCAGGCGCUCCUCCUCUCUGAGGUCACCCUCACUUUCUAAGUGUGUAGCCUUUUAAUCUUAAACUUUAUCUCUUCAACCUUUCAGGGCACCUCUCCUUGCUGAGGCUGCCUGCUGCACUUCUCUCUUUAAGUAACUAAAUAAAACUUUCACUCUGCUUCAAAAAAAAGAAAAAAAUUAACAAUGCAAAAUAUCUAAAUUGAAUAUACAAGAUACAUAUUAAUGCAUGCAAAAUUCUCUCCAAAAUUUAAAUUCACAGUACAUUCAAUGACUUCUCCCAACUCUACUUGAAAAUAAUACAUUGCAAUUAAAAGAAUGUGUUUUUUUGCAUAUUCCACCUCUUCAUACACUCAGGAAGAAAAUCAGGGGUAGUCUGCACACAUCACAGCCAGUUUAUCCACUAGACAGUAGGCACAAUGCCUGAAGCUCGCAAUAUUUUUGGGGGCUUACAAAUACGUUUUAAUUUCUUUUAAAAUUAGAA